rnacentral:rRNA from 1 species
UACAGAGGGUGCAAGCGUUGUUCGGAAUUACUGGGCGUAAAGCGCGUGUAGGCGGUCUCAUAAGUCGGGUGUGAAAGCCCUGGGCUCAACCCAGGGAGUGCACUCGAUACUGCGAGGCUAGAGUAUCGGAGAGGUUGGUGGAAUUCUCGGUGUAGAGGUGAAAUUCGUAGAUAUCGAGAGGAACACCGGUGGCGAAGGCGGCCAACUGGACGAAUACUGACGCUGAGACUCGAAAGCGUGGGGAGCAAACAGG